CGAACGAGACCUUUAGGGAUAAAUAGCGUCGCUAUGGCUGUGUCAAAUACAGUUACUGCCUCUGGGAGAAGGGCAUGUUCCCCUUUCAGAUGUCGACGGUGGCUGUAAUAGCUAUAGUUGGCUGCGGUAGCAAUAUCGUAUCAAGCUUCUUAUUCCGACUAUUGAUGUUCAAUCAAUGUAAGUUAAAGGCAAUAUCAGGUCUGUGAUGCCCUUAGAUGUUCUGGGGCCACACGCGUGUUACAAUGGUAUAGAUUAAAGGGUCUCCUUUUCUGUAGAGAGGGAGCAAUCUCUCUUGAAAGAAAUAUAUGCUUAAUAGGAAUGUUUGGCUAAUCCUUAUUGAAUCUAUUAAACCUUAUCUGGGAUAGAUGCUUGUAAUUAUUCUAUCUUCAACUUGGAAUACCUAGUAAGCGCAAUUCAACAAAUUGUGCUGAUUACGUCCUGCCUUGUACAC
rnacentral:rRNA from 1 species